AAGUCGUAACAAGGUUUCCGUAGGUGAACCUGCGGAAGGAUCAUUACCAAAUCCAAAACUUUAUCAACCCCUAUUGUGCACCGAGAAUGGUUCCGUUCCCUGUCUUCUUUUGGGCAGGCAGGGAAUGUAUUUUUUUUACAACACCUUUUCAACCAUUUUUCAACAACCAAUAUGCUGAACGCAAAACAAAAACGAAACAUGAGACAACUUUUAACGGUGGAUCUCUUGGCUCGU
rnacentral:misc_RNA from 1 species